CCUACGGGAGGCUGCAGUGGGGAAUAUUGGACAAUGGGGGCAACCCUGAUCCAGCCAUGCCGCGUGUGUGAAGAAGGCCCUCGGGUUGUAAAGCACUUUCAGUGAGGAAGAACGCCUGGUGGUGAAUACCCAUCAGGAAAGACAUCACUCACAGAAGAAGCACCGGCUAACUCCGUGCCAGCUGCCGCGGUAAUACGGAGGGUGCGAGCGUUAAUCGGAAUUACUGGGCGUAAAGCGCGCGUAGGUGGCUUGAUAAGCCGGUUGUGAAAGCCCCGGGCUCAACCUGGGAACGGCAUCCGGAACUGUCAAGCUAGAGUGCAGGAGAGGAAGGUAGAAUUCCCGGUGUAGCGGUGAAAUGCGUAGAGAUCGGGAGGAAUACCAGUGGCGAAGGCGGCCUUCUGGACUGACACUGACACUGAGGUGCGAAAGCGUGGGUAGCAAACAGGAUUAGAUACCCGUGUAGUC
rnacentral:rRNA from 1 species